ensembl:misc_RNA Metazoa_SRP Metazoan signal recognition particle RNA
GCCAGGUGCUUGCCUGUAGCCCCAGCUACUCGGGAGGCUGAGGUGGGAGGAUCACUUGUGCCCAGGAGUUCUGGGCUGUAGUGCGCUAUGCCGAUCGGGUGUCCGCACUAAGUUCAGCAUCAAUAUGGUGACCUCCCAGGAGCAGGUGACCACCAGGUUGCCUAAGGAGGGGUGAACUGGCCCAGGUCAGAAACGGAGCAAGUAGAAACUCCCAUGCUGAUCAGUAGUGGGAUCAUGCCUGUGAAUAGCCACGGCACUCCAGCCUGGGCAACAUAGAGACCCGGUCUCUA